rnacentral:misc_RNA from 1 species
GGGUCGAAACUUUGCGCCCAGGCUGUGGGCCGAGCCUUACGGGGGAGGGGGCUUCCGCAUGUGAGGUACCAUUACGCGUUACGGACCGGUGCAGCUGUUUCAAAGCUUCCACUUUCAGCCUAGUCGCAGCCACAGCCCGGACCUUCCAGUGAAAGGUCUUGUUCCCAGAUUAUACGUCGACUAUGCCACGUGUAUUACGAGAGCAGCCUGUCAUACGGCGUAGCAUCUUUGAUAAAACCCAGAGGCAGUGGCAUCAGUUGUUUAUCCUCCCGAUCUCUUACUUUUCACUUUGAAAAAAUGCAGUUUUGUUGAUAAACCACAGAUGGAUUUGCUUCAGACGUAACGAUUGAGGUUUGGUUGGUACAGUAAAUCAUACCUAGAACUUUUAAGUGUGCACAGAAGCGCUUAGAUCCAGCAGCAGUGAAGUAUUCUCCUAGUCAUUGGCCCACCAGGCUGCAGCCAACACCAGGCUAUCUAUACUGACCAUGGCGGGGACCCCAUUGAUGACCCCUCUGCUGAAUGCCUGCUUUCGUGGGCGGUACCGGACAUUACUCCACAAGAUCUUGGUGUUAAUAAUCACUUUCUUCACCUACAUGACCUACCAUUUGUCUAGAAGGCCAAUCAGCAUUGCCAAGGGUGUGUGGCACCGUAACUGCUCCAUACCCAUCAAUGACCUUCAGUUCCCCGUUUUCAAUAUUUCUGACGCCGGAAACCCCAACUGGUGUGACUGGAAACCUUUUGACACCUCUGAUGCUGAGGUCCUGCUAGGAUGGCUAGACACCGGGUAUCUAUUUGCCUAUGCAGUAGGAAUGUUUUUCAGCGGUCACAUUGCUGAGCGGAUGAGUCUACGCUACUUUCUGUUCGGCGGCAUGUUCCUGAGCGGUUUCUUCACAGCCGUGGUGGGCCUGGCCCAGUUCUUUCAGAUUCACAACUAUGCUUUCUUCAUCACAAUGAUGAUUGUCGGGGGUUUCUUCCAAGCAACAGGUUGGCCAGCAGUGGUUGCCGUGGUAGCCAACUGGUACGGAAAAGGAAAGCGUGGCCUUAUCAUGGGCGUGUGGAACACCCACACCAGCCUGGGCAACAUCCUAGGUGCAGUCAUCGCAGGGGCGUUUGUCGACUACUAUUGGGCGUGGUCGUUCAUCGUCCCUGGAGGCAUCAUCGCGUCCAUGGGAGUGAUAGUCUUCUUGUUCCUCAUUGAAUAUCCAACUGAUGUUGGCUGCGAUCCACCUAAAAAUCAAGAAGAGGAGACAAAGUCAGUCGGUGUUAACUUUUCAGACGACGAGAAUGGGCACUUUGGUGAGAGGAAAGUCCUAUCUGAGCAGCCUGCCAUCACCACAUGGAGAGCCCUCAUGAUUCCGGGUGUCAUCGAAUUCUCCCUUUCUCUGUUCUUCUGCAAGCUAGUCAGCUACACAUUCCUCUUUUGGCUUCCGUACUACAUCAGCCGCACCACGAAACUGUCGGACGAGCAGUCUGCAUACUUCUCCACCCUCUUUGACGUGGGCGGGGUGCUGGGGGGCAUCGUCAUAGGGCUCCUGUCGGACCUGAGCGGAGCCAGUGCCACGGUGUCGUUUGUGGCCCUAGUCGUGUCUGCGCCUCUGGUGUAUAUCUACAAUGCGUACGGCUACCUCAGCCUAGCCAAAAGUAUAGGUCUGAUGAUGCUGACAGCGUUUUUCACCAAUGCCCCCUAUGCUCUCAUUACCACUGCCGUGUCUGCUGAUUUGGGCACCCACCCGACCCUCCACGGUAAUGCCAAAGCCUUGGCGACGGUGUCCGCCAUCAUCGACGGGACGGGCACCAUUGGCGCUGCCAUCGGCCCUCUCUUGACAGGUAUCAUCAGUCCAACAAACAGUCACGGCUGGAGUGACGUCUUCCUCAUGCUGGCCGGGGCCGAGGUUGCCUCUGCUUUGUGUUUACUUAGGCUGGUGUUUAAGGAGAUGAAGAAAGCCUGCUGUCAGAGCGAUUACCAGCUAAUCUCGGGUACCGGCCCAAGAGCCGAAGGCGAAGUUGGUGUACACACAUACCCUACCGAAGUACCAUUCCGUGAGUGAGAGAUGUUGAAUGAGACCAUCUGCCACUAUCCUUCAUAUGAACUCCACUGCACUAGGAAAUAGACAGGAAGCCAUCCAUCUCAGUCGGAGGUUGUCAGCUACGGACAUGUCACGUUGACCUCUGAAAUGCCUCCUUGGAGAGACGCUGCUGUGCGGCGGCUCAAACUGACUUUUGUUUAAACCUCUCAUGAUGCCAGCUGAGUGGGAGCCUGCCAUCGAUGCAGGACAAAAACCCAGCCGAGUCUGCCAGGCUGAAACGGAAGCAGUUUGGACAGAGUUGCAAUCAAGUCAUUCAAGGCUGACCCUGAGCCACGGGCGAUGCGACCAGUUGUUGACAUUGAAAUGAAAGAAAAUUUAGAACAGGGCAGUAUCCAAAAAUGCAGUAGUCUCCUGUAAAGGAAUCAGUGUGAACUUCGGUUUUUCUUCCUGGAAUGACAUCACAGUUUUGCUCAUGAAUAUGCAGAAAUUUGCUCAGCCUAAAAAGCGGCAAGGCAUACUUUGGCAAACAAAGCUUUGAAAUUAUAUUAGGUCGACCGGAACACAAAAUUGCACACUGAAGAAAGUGAAGGAUUUCAUCUCAAAAUGAUAUCGUAUAGCCCUUUGGUUGUUCAGUCGAACACAAAAUGGGAGGGAAAAGGCAUAUCUCUUGGAGGUGUCACCAACUGUGUAACAUUUCAGUUUUCGUGUGACCUGCCCUUUGAUUUGACCGAAUACUGGCUCAUCAAGUGACUAGAUUUUAACUCUGGUUUUAGCUAAAACGUGAAAGGACGUUUAGCAUAUCAUGUCAUGCUGCCUCUUUGUAAUACAUAUCUGCCAAAAAUUGUUUUCUAUUUUGGUGUUCUCCUCUUGUUUUGUUCUCUUGUGUUCAAUUCAUUAUUUUUCUGUGACACCCUUAGGGAAUGCUCGUUUUCGUUGGUUGCCUGAAAUUUGUACUGUUGCACCUAAGCUAUAGGAUCUGUGCCAACUACAUGUACAGUUUGGACCAUCUCAACGAUGAUUCUUUGUGCAGUAGUCGGGCCUGCCUAGCAGUGUUUGUAUUAAGAGUCCAGCACAGAGUCCGCGACAUGUGGCAAAGGGGGACCCCCCCAUGUGACGCUCAAGCUAUUGUGCCUACAACCCCCCCUGAAAAUCUGAAAGGGUUUCCAAAGAUUCCAUGAACACAAAAGACGACACAAUAGCUCCCCUUUACUACAUACCGCGCAUAAAAUGUCCCUGUAAGUCCAUUUCACAAGUCAUUCAGCCUUACCCCAGUUCACAAGCUAUUCAAAUGAGCAGUGACAAAA